rnacentral:rRNA from 1 species
GUCCACGCCCUAAACGAUGUCAACUGGUUGUUGGGUGGGUAACCACUUAGUAACGAAGCUAACGCGUGAAGUUGACCGCCUGGGGAGUACGGUCGCAAGAUUAAAACUCAAAGGAAUUGACGGGGACCCGCACAAGCGGUGGAUGAUGUGGUUUAAUUCGAUGCAACGCGAAAAACCUUACCUACACUUGACAUGCCAGAAAUCCCGCAGAGAUGUGGGAGUGCCGCAAGGAAUCUGGGCACAGGUGCUGCAUGGCUGUCGU